ACUCCUACGGGAGGCAGCAGUGGGGAAUAUUGCACAAUGGGGGAAACCCUGAUGCAGCCAUGCCGCGUGUGUGAAGAAGGCCUUCGGGUUGUAAAGCACUUUCAGUAGGGAGGAAGGUAGUGUAGUUAACACCUGCAUUAUUUGACGUUACCUACAGAAGAAGCACCGGCUAACUCCGUGCCAGCAGCCGCGGUAAUACGGAGGGUGCGAGCGUUAAUCGGAAUUACUGGGCGUAAAGCGCAUGCAGGCGGCCUGUUAAGUCAGAUGUGAAAGCCCGGGGCUUAACCUCGGAAUUGCAUUUGAAACUGGCAGGCUAGAGUCUUGUAGAGGGGUUAGAAUUUCAGGUGUAGCGGUGAAAUGCGUAGAGAUCUGAAGGAAUACCGAGUGGCGAAGGCGGCCCCUGGACAAAGACUGACGCUCAGAUGCGAAAGCGUGGGAGCAAACAGGAUUAGAUACCCCUGGUAGACUGUCA
rnacentral:rRNA from 1 species